UAGUGUUCAUCAUGGCGAACAGAUGGCACCCGGAGAAAUGGAGCCCUCCCCCCUGCAGGUGUGCGUCCUAGCUGUGCAGGAGGGGAGGCCUGGAGGAUGCAGCCCGCUUAAAUUGACGCCUGCAGAUUGAAUUCCACAGUCUUAGGAGGAGGAGGAGGUGCUCCA
ensembl:misc_RNA predicted gene, 27533